UUUAAGUGCAAUCAUAAGUUUUUCAUCUAACUUUGAUCGUCCGUCCUAUUUAAAAUUUUUUUAUAAUUAGUAUUUUUGUUAUUAUGAUAUGAUAAAACAUGAAUAAUACUUUACUCAUGACUUAUGUUUUUGAAUUUUUUUCAAAUAAGACAGACGGUUAAAGUUAGACGAAAAAACCAUUGUUACACUUGAA
rfam:Oryza meridionalis cultivar OR44 (W2112) chromosome 4, whole genome shotgun sequence.